GCUGUGUCUGGCUGUAACAAGGGGAAUGUGUCUCCACAUCGCCAUCACCCAGCAUGGCACCGCUCAGAGCAGCAACAUGGCCUCAUUGGUCUUGACUAUGAGGUGAAACCCAGGGUUCCCUGUUUGAGCAGGUUGCAGUGGGAUUGGCAGGGCCUUUGCUGGUGGCAUGAGAUCCCUUCCCUCAUAUGCUACCUCUUUCCAGUCCUGAGGAGUGAGGCUGGAUGGCUUGCCCAAGAAACCUUGGAGGAAGUGCUUCAUAGCCCCCCCAGAACUCACCAUUUCAGCAGCACCAGGUCUGUACAUUCAGGAGUGAUAGUGAAAACGUAUAUACAAGUGGGAUCCAGCAUCCGUGGGUGAGAUGAAGAUGGAAAAGAAACAAAACCGAAGAGCAAGGUGUAUGACUGUAUAAUCAUGGACUCCUGUGGGGGAUGGAUAGUAGACACCAGUGCUGGUCUGCCCAGACACUGUCCCUAUCCCUUGGGGCAGCAUUGCAGAACCCCUGGCAUGUUGUGUCCUGAGGAGGUAGAUGGCAGAUGGGAAGUGGCUGCUUUUCCUCCUCUCUUUCUCAGAAUUGCUGAUCUGUGCCCUGGCAUCUUUCUGGGCUGUUUGUCUUCCUGCUGGUGCCAGGUAUGUGGCCACACCCCUUGCCCCACAGAUGCUGGAGGUGGGCAUGCUGGGAACUAGGUGGGGGGG